AAGAGGGCUGCUGCGCGCUCCGACGCCGCCUGCCUGCCUGCCGCUCCCUCUGACCUGCGGGCAAGAGGCGGUGGCUGCUGCCGCUCCAGGAUGCUGGGAAUGUGCCCCGACGCUGUUCCGAGUACCGAGGGCGCCAAGGGUUUAAUCGAGCGCCGGCAUCAGCAGAAGUCCAAGUCGUGCGGUCUCUUCUUUCGCCGUGUUUGUUCCCAAAGCUAUCCCCUCGGCAGUUCCCCCCCUCCACCUUUGUUGUGCGUUUUCUCUCUCUCUCUCCCCCCCCCCCCGGCCCCACCGUUUCUCACACUGGCGGAAAUGACGAGAGUUCGAGCCGAAAAUAUCUGAAGUCAAGCAGCCCCCUGUGCGUCCUGGCGAGAGGGCUGCAUGUGUGAUUUGAAAGCAGGGAUUCAAACGCAGAGGAACAACCAGAAAUACCCUCCGCGAGCUGUCGGGGCGAGCGAGCGUGUGUGAGAGAGAGAACGAGCGUAUGCGCACCCACCUCCCUCUUCCCUGGGGAGGAGGGGGAACAAAUGCGUGAAGAUUGCCUGAUGAAAAGCUGUAAGAGGCAGCCGCGGAAGCAUGUUCACACAAUAUAAGACCAAAGAGGUAUGUUUAGAAGAGAACAUUAAAAAAUAACACCCAGCAUACAUCAAGGAGCACCAAGAUGACCUCUGCUGUCAGUACCAAAGUACCAUGUAUGACAACAAAAGUGGACUUUGCAAGCCCUUAUGGUUGCUUAUACUUCAAGCCUGCAAGGAUAAAUACCCUCCGUCUGUUACGCAAUGGACUGAAGACCUCACUGCCCUGGCUACAUUUGAACAUCAAUUUCAAGUGGAUACCAAUUUGGACACCUGGAAGGCUUAUAUUAAUUUACACGCUUCAUUCAGGAUGCAUAUAGUGAUGGGUAUAUGAUUCUUAAUGUAAAC